rnacentral:rRNA from 1 species
AGUAGGGAAUAUUGGACAAUGGGCGAAAGCCUGAUCCAGCCAUGCCGCGUGAGUGAUGAAGGCCUUCGGGUUGUAAAGCUCUUUUGGCGGGGACGAUAAUGACGGUACCCGCAGAAUAAGCCCCGGCUAACUUCGUGCCAGCAGCCGCGGUAAUACGAAGGGGGCUAGCGUUGUUCGGAAUCACUGGGCGUAAAGCGCACGUAGGCGGACUUUCAAGUCAGGGGUGAAAUCCCGGGGCUCAACCUCGGAAUUGCCUUUGAUACUGUAGGUCUCGAGUCCGGAAGAGGUGGGUGGAAUUCCUAGUGUAGAGGUGAAAUUCGUAGAUAUUAGGAAGAACACCGGUGGCGAAGGCGGCCCACUGGUCCGGUACUGACGCUGAGGUGCGAAAGCGUGGGGAGCAAA